UAGAAGGAUUCAAGCGCCGGUGAUCGAAGGGAUACCUAGGACGACCAUAAGGGUUACGAUUGGUUUAGUCGUAACUUCAACCACCUUCAAUCCUAGUGUGUUCAUGUGCAACAAUCGAAUUAGUCACACAUUUCAUGAUCAUGAAGGCAUCUUAUUUGUUGGUGAUAAAGACCCUAACCCUAGUUCGUCGUUUGUGGUUUUCAAUUCAAAAUUUAUCAUCAACAAGUGGUGCGCCGGAUGAAAUCUGCACCUUCUCUCUGAGAUGAAGUUUUAGGUUUAACCACUCAUAAUCAUGGAUUGUUUCUUUAUAUUCAGUUUGGGUAUUGGGAAUUUUACUUUAUUUGAAUCGAAUUCAAAUAUGUCAAAAAGGGUUUCUAGCUUUUUAUUCAAGCGCAACAUUUGUUGUUGAUUAGAGUGCUGGUGUUGUUUUAUGCAUCAAAGCAUGCUCUAUUUGGGGCUUCUUUUUCUCUGGGUUCGCUACUGAUUUUCGGUCGGUAAGGCAAGCCGCAAGGAUGCUGCUCUCUAGAGUUCUCGAUUUGUUGUUAAAAAAAAGUCUGCGAGCUGGCCUCAAGUCUCAACCAACUAUUGAGCUAGAGGAAUUCUUUCAAUCCACUUUUCUUGUCGGCUCUCGGUGAUUUGAAUCAGUUUCGGUGUUCAUGAAAGUACUGCAGCACCCCCUUUGAGAUACAUGAUGAUAAUAAUGUUCUCAAGGCAGUGAUGACCUGCCUAACAAUAGGCCCAUGGAUGGUGGUACAUGCUAGAGCCUAUCAGCCGCACUACAUCUUCGACCUGCUCUCGCUUUACAGACUACCAAACCGGCUAGACCUUAAUCUCACCUGCUCUCGCUUUUGAAGUUUUUUGGUUUUAGAGCUGGUACUUUACAAAGAAAUGAUUACAAAGAUUUUGUUAGUAAGUUAUUAACAAGUUUUACUAUGACAUUCGAGCAAUAUUAUCAUGCCAUCUGUGACCUUAUGGGUUGCCUUAUGCCUUUAUGACGGGAUAUCAACGUGAAGAUCGAGAGGAUAUUAUGGUGGCUUUUUUACCGAACAAGAUAUUAAGAGCCUACCAUGUUUACAGGUGAUGGAAAUUCCAACAACGAAGAGCUUAAGGUGAUGUCAAAAGAAGUUGAGUAUAGUCAGUUGGCUGAUGUAGAGACAAUAAGUAGUAGGUGCUGGGAACUAUGAAGUGGAAGUUUGACUACUCAGAAAACGUUAACACGAUGAUUAUUUAACUCGCAUGAAGAUUGUGAAAGAGAUUCAUGAACACAAUGAAGUUUUAAGUUUUUAUUCAUACACUUGUUAAUUUAUUUGGGUUAUAUGUUUGAUCAUUAGAUUUAGAUCCACACAUAUUAGACAUUUGAAAUCUUUGGAAGAUUGAUUGAACUUUUAAUUGAAGUGAUUAUUUUAUGAUUUCUACAUUUUACAAUUUUGUUUUUAUUUUUU
rnacentral:lncRNA from 1 species